rnacentral:rRNA from 1 species
UGGGUGACCUGCCCUCAGCUCUGGGAUAAGCCUGGGAAACUGGGUCUAAUACUGGAUAUUCACUUCUCAUCGCAUGGUGGGUGGUGGAAAGUUUUUUCGGCUGGGGAUGGGCCCGCGGCCUAUCAGCUUGUUGGUGGGGGUAGUGGCCUACCAAGGCGACGACGGGUAGCCGGCCUGAGAGGGUGACCGGCCACACUGGGACUGAGACACGGCCCAGACUCCUACGGGAG